UAGACCUUCCCGAAUCAUUCCUCUUUAUUUAAUCAUCUGAGCAUUCUGUAUAAAUCAGAAUGCGACUCCCAUCACAUCCCAAACGCUCCCAGGUUUAUGGCUUGGGAUUGAAGUGAGGGGGUGAAGGGCUCCCUCGGGCAGGGCCGAAGGUGGUUGAGUUUCCCCCGCAGCCCACAUCCACGGCUCCCCUUGGCCACACAGGUUCGUAGCUGUGUUCAUUAAUCCCGAGUCGGGCUUCGAAGCUGUUAGCGUUCAGACCCACCACGCUGUGGGUUUUGAGGAAAUUAUAAUAUUUGUCCCAGGCAUAUUUGCUGCAAGCUGCUUUUUUUCGUUGGCCUUUUCAAGUCUUUGUAUUCCUUUGUUUUCAUCUGUGGAAUCUGAGUUUUAUUUAAAAUUCCAGAUGGUUGACUGUCCUCAAUUGAGUGUUUAUGCUUUUUUUUUUUCCACUUUUUUUUUUUUUUUGGAAGUGACUGUUCUCAGAUCAGUGCUAUAUUUUGCUUUUUUGUGGAGUUUUAAAAAUUAACGGUCUAUUAUAUAUAAAUCUAGUAAAAAAGAGCAGCUGCUGUACCUAAUUGUGGGGUGUGAAUAAUAGACAUUCUCACAGCCUAAUGAUGAUCUCUUGCAGUGCAGUAAAACUUUCUUGGAAGCUUUGUCAUUGAAGUUUUUCUUUAAGUUUGUGGUUGUUUAUUUUAGGUUCCCUGUGAUUCUUAUCUUAUCUUAGCUGCCCCCGGUCCCUGGGAGAUUUCUAACAGCAACAACAACAAAAAUUGGAAGGAUGGUUUUUAUUUGUAUAGAUUUUAUCUGUAUAUAGUUUUUAAAUUGUUUCUUAAUGUUUAUUUUUGGGGGGGGGGGUGAGAAGCAUGAGUGCGGAAGGGGCAGAGAGAAAGGAAGACACAGAAUCGGAAGCAGGCUCCAGGCUCUGAGCUGUCAGCACGGAGCCUGACGCGGGGCUCGAACCCACAAACCAUGAGAUCAUGACCUGAGCCGAAGUAGGACGCUGAGCCGACUGAGCCACCCAGGCGCCCCUUAUCUGUAUAUUUUUAAGGUUCAACCAGAAAGGGGAAAGGAAGUUUAGUUGCCACCUGCUGUACCAUCAGGCAUUUUUAAAAGUCUGUCAUCACCUUGGAAGAGACACAAAAGCAUCUUGCCUCCAGCAGAAAGUCAGGAGCAUCUCUCUGGGUCUCUAGUGAUGGCAUUUCCUGUCUUCUCUGGCGAUAGAAGAAAAGCGCCUGGUGACUUCACUCUGUAGCUCCAAAAGACCUAUUCUCUUUUUCUAGAGAACAAUUCCUCUUUCUUUAGCGCUUGGAGGCACACUUUUUAGAUACACAGUUGCUCACUGUCCUGGGAAGAAAUGCUUUGCCAUUGUUUGCGAAGAAACAACAAACCCAUCUGGCAGGCUGGUUUGUUUGUUUACCUUUGUUCCUGUUAACUAGCCUUUCGGAUCGAAGGAGGGGACGGAGAGCUGGCCGCAGAUGAACCACUGGUAGGUGGCCGGCCGCUCAGGACGGUCCGGAGGACUCAGGUACCACCCGCCAACUUCCCCAGGGCUCAGCACCACGUCUUUUUGUGUGUGUUGUAGCCACAGAUGAGUUUUGGAGGAACGUAUUGCCAGGAAAGAAAAAUUAGGAGGGAAAUCACUGACACCUCGAUUUUUCCUUGUGUCACUGGAAACCUUAGGGUCUCAAGUGUAGUUCUCCGAUGAUUUUUUGUUUUAACGUGUUAUUUCGUAUUUGAGAGAGUUAAAGAGAGAGAGAGAGAGCACGAGCAGGGGAGGGGCAGAGAGACUGAGACAGAAUCCGAAGCAGGCUCCAUGCUCCUAGCUGUCAGCGCAGAGCCCGAUGCGGGGCUCGAACUCACAACCGUGAGAUCACGACCUGAGCCGAAAUCGGGAGUCGGAAGCCCCCCAGGCACCCCUGGAAUAAAUUCAUAUUUAUUAUUAGAUAUUAAAUGGAGGGGUGGUAAGAACAUUCACUGUAUGGGUUUUCAAUCAAGAUCAGCCCUCAUGCUCCCAGAAUGUGACUUUUUUUGGAGCAGGGGGCGGCGGCGGGGGGUGGGGGGGAUACCUGUUGCCUUCAGAGAAGACGCCUUUGAUGUUAAAGCCGAGUCAACCUUUCCCGGCAGAGCCUGUCACUUUCCCCGUGUUCUUGUGUGUGCAUUUCCUCUCUCCGCCCAGGACGGGCCUUGUGUUUUGGGAGAAACGUUCAUGUCGAGAGCAUGAACCCAGACUCCAGCUCGGUUCCCUUUCAUCCCUGUGUCUGUUAACGAAACCUGAGAAGUGAAGCCCCCCCGGGGGGCCCCCCUCUUGGAUUCCUAAAUUGCGGGAUCGAGAAGAGUUGCCUGAAAAGGGAGCUUAAAACCGAGAAGCGUGGCCUCGAAAGAGAGACAAGGAAGGAGUCCCUUAUAAAAGAGCCAGAAUCUGAUUUUGUCUCCUCCUUCCUGUCCUCCCCAGUCCUCAGUCCUCCUUUGUGACUCAGCCCAGCCCUAGGCUCUGACUAGGAGAGAUAAACUCAGAGGGGGAGGGUGGAGGGGAGGGGGAGCCUCCGCCAUCAGUCUGCUUUCAACCUGCCUUCUGGCCACGCACGACAUUCCCCACCUUGUCUGUCAGAACACAGACGGCACAUUCAAGCCCAGUCAUUCCGGGAAGGUUGUUCAGUAGCAGAAAGGUUUACCUGGCUGCGGAGAAGGUUCAGGAAAGGCACCAAGAGCUAGUGCCGAACCCCGGGGGCCAGUCAGGGUGGGGAGCUGCUGCGGUCCCCUCCGUCCCAGGGGGCGGGGGUUCCUGACCGGAGCCGUGGCCUCGGUCGAGGACCCAGCCAACCCAGAAUUUCUCAGCGAGAGGACCUUCAGAUACACCUAAAUUCCCCGCCCUCCGAUGCACCAGAACGUCUGUGGCAAAUCUGACAGAACCGGAGGGCCCGGGAGGCCGUGUGUGGUCCAUAUCCCCGGGUCAGCCGCUGGGGACACAGAGGACAGAUCUGGGAAAUUCCCACCACAUUGACGAAGUCAGUGACGUCACAGCUGAAGGAGAUUACAGGAUUUAGGAAACGCUGGUGAUUUGGGGCCACGAGAUAAAAAGGACAUCAGUUUCUUAACAUUUCUAUGUAUUUCUGGUCUUUCCUUGGGAUCUCGUCUCCUUUGGAGAUCUUGUCCAGGCUGUGGCUCGAACCACCCACGUGGUGCUGGUGACGUCCAUGCUGAUCUUUUUAGCGUUGACCCUUCCCUGAGCUCACACUCGGCCAUCCAGCUCCCCGGUAGGCUCUCCACUUCGGGGUGUCUUAGAACGUCAACCUAACAAAGCUAAAACUGUCUGACUCCAGUACCCCCCUCCUAAAGCUCAGACCAGCAAUCUUGGAGUCAACCCUGAAACUUCCGUACCUCCACUCACAUCUGAUCCUGGGGUUUUCCUGACACUUGGGAAGGACACCUAGAGUCUGGCCCCCGCUCACCACCUACGCUGCUGCCCUGUGGUCCAAGUCUCCCAUCUCCCGGGUUGGAGAGAGACCUGGAACCUUCCUUCACAACAUGGCACCUCUAUGUGACCCAUGGUUCCCCAGCUCAUUCAGACCCAAAGUCUACAAGACUCUACACAGGCUGGCCCUUUCUUCUCUGACCCCGUUUCCUGAUAGUGCCUGAGGCUUACCCCUGCUCUAGCCCUUUGGGGUCCUUACUGGUCAACACAAGGCAUGUACGUGCCACGGGGCCUUGGCAGAGAGCAGGGGGCUGAACUUACUUUUCAAUCUAAGAAGAUCUAAGUAAUGGAAACAUUCAUCUACACAAAUGUUUGCAGGGGCAUUAUUCCUGUAGCCCCAAACUGGGAAAACCCUAAUGUUCAUCAACUGUGAAUGGAGAAACAAAAUCGGUAUAUGCCCAUACAACGGAGUGUCACUGGGCAGUAAAAAAGACAGAAAGGACCGAGACCCACGUGACAACGUGGAUGAACCUGGAAGACAUUCUGCCUGGUGAACGUUAUGUGCUAAUGGAAGCCAUUGUGGCAGUCACAAAAGACCUCACGGCCUAGGAUUCCAUUCAUAGGAAAUAAGCCAGAGCAGGCAAAUUUAUGGACGUAAGGUAAAGUAGCGGUUGCCCAGGGCUGGGGGGGGGGGGGGGGGGAGGGAUGACGUGUUAGACGCUCAGGCUGUCCUUUUGGGGUGAUAAAAUGUUCUCAGAUUGUGGUGAUGGUUGCACAAUUCUGCGACUGCACCAACGAGCGCGGAGUUGUACAACUCCAGUGGGCGAAUCGUGUGCUAUGUGAAUUCUCAAAGCAGCGGAAAAACAAAGGUCUCCGUGGUCGCUGUCCUAACGAACAUUCCUGCCCUUUUCACGAGUGUUGCGCGUGGGUCUGAGGACUCGGGAUUAUCCUACCUGAAGUUUGAGGGGGAAACUCUGUGACUGUGUUUUCAUUUCCCCUUUAUUUUUUAUUUAUUUAUUUUUUAAUGUUUCAUUUAUUUUUGAGACAGAGCAUGAGCAGGGGAGGGGCAGAGAGAGAGGGGGACACAGAAUCCGAAGCGGGCUCCAGGCUCUGAGCUGUCAGCACGGAGCCCGACGCGGGGCUCGAACUCACAGACCGCGAGAUCACGACCUGAGCCGAAGUCGGACGCUUAACCAGCUGAGCCACCCAGGCGCCCCUCCCCUUUAUUUUUUAAGUCUUCCAUUUCUUUGGAGUGCACUAGAGAUUCAGUAUUUCAAUACGGUUUAGGGGGCGCCUGGCUGGCUCAGUAGGCAGAGCACGCGACGCUGGAUCCCAGGGUUGUGAGUUCAAGCCCUCCGUUGGGCGUGGAGUCUACUUAAAACAAGAAAUUAAAUAUGAUUUGAGUUGAUGAUUUUUUUUCCCCUCAGGUGUGACCCUGGGAAAGAGGGGGUGCUAAUCACUGUGCGUUUUCUGUUUCCAGUACUUUCACGAUGGGCGGAAGGCACAACAGCACAUAGAGAUCUGCUGGAAGCAACUCGAAUCAAGUAAAAGGCGAUUUGAACGUGACUGCAAAGAGGCGGACAGGGCACAGCAGUACUUUGAGAAGAUGGACGCCGACAUCAAUGUCACCAAAGCAGACGUUGAGAAGGUGAGGUGACAGUGAGACUCUUUCACUUACUUCCCUUACCUGGGCCUGGAGCCUCUCCUCCCCAGGCUGCCUGUCCCCAAGCUCUCCUUUCCGACGGCACCGCAAAAGGCCACCCACCCUGGGAUCAGUGCUUUCCGUUUUGUGUCACCUGUCGUGGGGGCCAGAAGCCCUGACUUUCGGGGCGUCUCCGGUGUGCCGAUGGGGGGCAGUUGGCCGAAUUGUGUAGUCCCCAGGAUGGUGACGCGGAGACUCAGCCUGGGAGCGGCUCGCAGCAGGGUGGUUUCCGGAGGUUGUGGCUUUUCCCUUAAUGGCUUUUCAAAGAACAAGUCCACCCCUUUAAAAGCCAGAGCACAGGGCUGCAGAGCCAUCUGGAAGAGAUCGACAGCCUCCGAUGCUUCCGUUUGGGAGAUAAAGGGCCUGGAGGGCCGGCCUGCCUUGCCGUGGAUUCAUUCCGGUUGUUAGCAGGUUGUAGCUGAGGGCUGGCAUCUGGGCGUCCCCGACUUGUGUCGCAGUUAGGAAGGUGAUAAAGCUCGCACUGUACCUUCUUGUGGUCGUCUAUGUGUUUUUCCCUGGAAGCGGAGUUUUCUUUUCCGAAGAGUCAUCAAUACAGGGUAAACAGCUUAAGGCUGGUAAAUGGCUGUAUUCAUCCCAUGACCGCCCAGGGCCGUUUUGGCAUCCUCAGCCUGCUGCUCUCUGUGGGGAGAAGCCUGGCAUUUUCAUAGGUUUCUUUCACUUUUGCCAGAUUCGUGGGGGACGAGGUUAGUUGGAAAAUAGCGUGGAUGAUUUAGUUAUUGGUCUAGGUCUGCCAGAUGCCUGGCUUAAAGCCUAGGUAUUUAUCACCCUGCCUUCCUUGAACAUUGCCGAAGAUAUUAAAAUACAUAGUCUCAAUGUCUGUAUUUGAGCCCGAGUGUGGAUACUUUACCAAAAGAUAUUAAUGUGCUGAUAGAGUAACCAUAAAGUACCGUAGGUUUGUCAUAAAUUCCUAUUAAAUAGCCAGCUCCCCAAACUGUUUACAAUGGGACUCCGUUGAAAUCGUUUGGGGGCUAAAUGAGGUACGCCAGUAUAGGGGUAGCGUACCUCGCAAAGACAUGCCCCUUCUUUAUCAAAUGUUUUGUUAGCCUAAAUGUUAAAUCAGAGUGAAUUUUACUCAUUUAAAGAUCUUCUUAAAAGAAAAUUACUUUUAUGGGGCGCCUGGGCGGCUCAGUGGGUUAAGCGUCCGACUUUGGCUCAGGUCAUGAUCUCACGGCUCGUGAGUUUGAGCCCCCCGUCGGGUUCUGUGCCUACAGCUCAGAGUCCGGAUCCUGCUUCCGAUUCUGUGUCUCCCUCUCUCUCUGCCCCUCCCCCGCUUGUACUCUGUCUGUCUGUUUCUCUCUCUCAAAAAUAAAAAACAUAAAAAAAAUUAAUAAAAAAGGAAUUUCUCUUACGGCCUUUUCUUAGCAUAAAAGCUAUCCUUGCUUAUUACAAAAAUACUUGACGGGCGCCUGGGUGGCUCAGUCGGUUAGGUGUCUGACUUCGGCUCAGGUCAUGAUCUCAUGGUCCGUGAGUUCGACCUGCAUCGGGCUCUGUGCUGACAGCCUGGAGCCUGCUUCAGGUUCUGUGUCUCCCUCUCUCUUUGUGUCUUCCCUGCUUCCGCUCUGUGUCUGUCUCUCUCAAAAAUAAAUACAGGUAAAAAAAAAAGAAAUACAA